CCGGUGCCUUCUCCGCGAGGUUACGGACAAACUGGGCCAUGGUUCUAGGAGUGAAAGUCCGUCGCUGCGACUGGCUGGCUGAAUGUCACCCGCCAGGAAGGACCUGCGGCAGGACCCCGUUCCGCUUCCAAGCUCUAAACUGUGACAGAGCCAUGCUUUCAGCACUUCACCUUUCUAUGCUUCCAGUGAAAAUGGUGAUAAAGUGAAGGACAUGUUCCAGAGAAUCUGCUGAUGUCUCCAAGAUGUCAUCGGCAAAGCGGCGGAGAAAAAUGAGGAAAUCACCCAAGUUAUCUGCAAAAAAUUCUGAAAAAUAA